rnacentral:rRNA from 1 species
AUUGAACGCUGGCGGCAGGCCUAACACAUGCAAGUCGAACGAGUGGCGGACGGGUGAGUAAUGUCUGGGAAACUGCCUGAUGGAGGGGGAUAACUACUGGAAACGGUAGCUAAUACCGCAUACCAUCGGAUGUGCCCAGAUGGGAUUAGCUAGUAGGUGGGGUAAAGGCUCACAUAGGCGACGAUCCCUAGCUGGUCUGAGAGGAGGACCAGCCACUCCGGGAGUGAGACACGGUCAAGAAUCCGAUGGUAGGCAGCAGUGGGGAAUAUUUGACAAUGGGCAGAAGCCUGACACAGCCAUGUCGCGUGUAUGAGGACGGCCUUCGGGUUGUAAAGUACUUUCAGCGGGGAAGCGGUCCCCGCAGAAGAAGGGCCGGCUAACUCAGUGCCAGCAGCCGCGGUAUUAC